UUGACUUGGGACUCGGACUUCCGAGCGAAGCUUUAGCUACUAGUCGGUCGCGAGGCCGACGAACGCGAGGCAGGCCUUGGGGGUCGGGAGGGUCUCUCGUCUUCUCUGACGACUUGACCUCAAAUCAGGUAGGACUACCCGCUGAACUUAAGCAUAUCAU
rnacentral:rRNA from 1 species